rnacentral:piRNA from 1 species
UAGAUGAAAAGCCCUGUGGCAAGAACU